rnacentral:lncRNA from 1 species
CUAUUUAAUUUUAAUCAUCAAAUCAAAACCCCCCUCUUUUAAUUACUUGUUAUUUACUUGACCUAGUCAUUAUUAGGAAAAUCAUUGGUGUCAAUUCCCUGUGGUUCGACCCUAUUGCCACUAUCUACAAGUUUAUUGUUGAUUGUUUAAUAGGUUUAUUUUUGACGGUUUCGACAACCGCCUAUCAAAAAUUGGCGCCGUUGCCGGGGAAUUGAUUUAAACUAACGUAUUUUCCUUUUAUGAUCAGGGCUGAUCGUAAAGAAGCUCUUCUUUACGAUUCAGAAAUUGAACACACUGCC